rnacentral:rRNA from 1 species
AUGCAUGAUCUAUUGAGAUCACUCGGACAAUAUUUGACAAAGGAUCACUCCCUGUGCAUGAAUGUGGAAAGAAUUGAUGCUAUGUCGAAUCUCCGCCGCUUGGGUAUCAGUCAUGCUGUAGAAGAAAUACCCAAUCUAGAAGAGCACAAGUGCUUGAGGAGCCUCCUACUUUUUAAUAACAAGAAUUUCAAAUCAAUGCACAGGGAUAUUUUCAGAAAGCUUGAGCAUAUCCGUGUCUUGGUUCUCAGUGGGACAAGCAUCAAGGACAUACCGGACUCAGUGGGAAAUUUGGUGUUGUUGAGGUUGCUAGAUCUUAGCUAUACAGAGAUUAACAAACUUCCAGAGUCCACGGGAAGUCUCAUCAGCCUUGAAUACCUCUCUUUGCUUGGUUGCCGUCAAUUGGAUAGCCUGCCAGCUGGUCUGAUGAGACUGUCCAAGAUAAGUUUUUUGCACCUAGAGAAGACUUCAAUUGAUCAUGUUCCCAAAGGGAUCGCAAAGUUUCAGCAGCUCUACAACCUAAGAGGAGUUUUUGAGAGCGGGACUGGAUUCAGAUUGGAUGAAUUGCGAGGCCUCCCCAAUAUUCAACGUCUCUGGGUUAGUAAGCUAGAGAAAGCGAUACCAGGGGGUGAAGUUGUACUGAAGAACAGUCGUAAUCUUAAAGAACUGGGACUACGCUGCACAAUGAACACGGGUAUUCAUGAUAGAACACGCUAUGAGCACGACAAGGUUCAGAAAAUUCAGCAAGUCUACGAUAUGCUCAUCCCAUCGCCAAGCCUAGAAUACAUUUUUCUUGUUGGGUUCCCGGGUACUAUGUUCCCAGAAUGGCUACGAUCGAAACCGGAGCUUAGCAUGCCAAGUUUGCAUCAGAUGCACCUUGAUGAGUGCAUAUCAUGUUCAGAGCUUCCACCAGCAGGUCAGAUGCCACAACUGCAAUUUCUUAAGAUUAAAGGUGCAGAUGCGAUACAGUCCAUUGGCAAAGAACUCCUAGGAAAAGAAGUCGGCAGUCCAGCAGCCUUUUUCCCAAAGCUUGAAGUGCUUCAGGUCAUUGGCAUGUUCAGUUUGAGAAGUUGGUCCCUCAACACUGGGAAUCCCAGCAAUAACUCUCAACAUAUCUCUCUGAUGCCUUGCCUUAAGCGUCUGCUGCUUCUUGAUUGCCCAAAACUGAGAGCUCUCCCUCAAGACAUGUCCAAGAUUGUUAACUUGAAGAGAAUCCACAUUGAAGGUGCUCACAAGCUGCAAGAAGUUGUCGACCUUCCCGCAGUUGUGUGGCUCAAAGUGAAGAACAACACAUGUUUGAAGACAAUCUCCAAUCUCUGUAAGCUUCAGGACUUGCUUGCGCAGGACUGCCCAGCACUGGAUCAGGCAAAGAACCUAUGCUCAUUGAGGCGCUUGUACAUGGUUGACUGCCCGCACGAGCAAGGGUUCAGGAAGUGUCUCUCAGAAGAACAAGGCGUGCUAGUCCAUGUUGCAACGAUUAGCGCAGAUGGCCGGAAUAUCUUCCCGGAUGAAUCUCUCUACAAUUAG